GUGUCCCAGCCCCGCACUCUGCCCUCACCUGAAGCUGAAGGAAUCCGCUGCCUGGGAGUAGCAGGGCAGAAGAGCAAAGAGAAGGCUGUCUUGUGCUUAUGUCCUUACGUCUACACAUUCUACCUCCAAAACCCUGGCUGGCGGAGCACGAGACAAACAACCCGAAGUUGAGAGGCUGCUGCUGCUGCCGAAAGAGAUCAAAGGCAGAGGCCCUUCAGCGAAGGACAGACAUCCAAACAGAGGCUGGUGGCCCGCUCCAGAGAAGGAACAGCCUCUGCCCCAUGGCUUGGCUGGGGCUGGAACCAGUCGUGUCUGCAGCUGACUCUGCAGAGGGCAGGAGUCCCAGGGCCCCACAGGACACACACGCACAGCAGGGUAGGGGCCCAGGGAGCAGCGUGGAUUCCCAGGAGACCAAGCACACAUUCGCACAGCAGCGCAGCAGGGCCACCAAUGCUGGUGGGUGCGAGCCCUCCUCCACUUUAAUGAGGGACACCGCCUGCCCUUCUGAGCCUGCCCCACCCGGAGGGUCCACACACUCACAGGUGGGGAAGCUGAAGCUCGGAAAGUUUAAGAGAAUUGGCCUGGAGUCACUGAGGCCGACUCAAACCCAGUCUGGCCCGCAAUGAAGGGGUCAACUCACGAUUUACAACGACAUUUCCUGCGCUGAAACUAUGUCUUGGAUUCUGGAUUUCCACUUGACACUGGAGAAGUCU
rnacentral:lncRNA from 1 species